ensembl:snoRNA DQ267101 small nucleolar RNA SNORD113/SNORD114 family
UGGAUCAAUGAUGACCAGUGGUAGCCGUAUGAUUCAUGGAUCAUGACUACAGAUCUGGGAGUCUGAGUUCCAC